rnacentral:rRNA from 1 species
ACACGACUACAUUAGAUACCCGCGUAGUCCUAGCUGUAAACGAUACUCGCUAGGUGUCGGCCACGGUGCGACCGUUGUCGGUGCCGUAGGGAAGCCGUGAAGCGAGCCACCUGGGAAGUACGGCCGCAAGGCUGAAACUUAAAGGAAAUUGGCGGGGGAGCACCACAACGGGUGGAGCUUGCGGUUUAAUUUGGAUUCAACGCCGGAAAUCUUACCGGGACCGACAGCAACAUGAAGGCCAGGCUGAAGACUUUGCCGGAUUAGCUG